rnacentral:rRNA from 1 species
AGUGAACGCUGGCGGUAGGCUUAACACAUGCAAGUCGAACGGCAGCACAGUAACAGCUUGCUCUUACGGGCGGCGAGUGGCGGACGGGUGAGGUAUACAUCGGACUAUACUUUUUCGUGGGGGAUAAAGUGGGGAAACUUACGCUAAUACCGCAUUCGACCUACGGGUGAAAGCAGGGGCUCUUCGGACUUUGCGCGAUUGAAUGAGCCGAUGUCGGAUUAGCUAGUUGGCGGGGUAACAGCCCACCAAGGCGCAGAUCCGUAGCUGGUCUGAGCGGGUGGAGCGGCACAGUGGGACUGAGACACGGUCCUGGCUCCUACGGGAGGCACAGGUGCGGAAGAGUGGACAAUGGGGGGAAUACUGCUCCAUGCGUACCGCGCGGGUGCAGAAGGGCCUCGUGUGGGAAAGCGCUUUUGUUGUUAAAGAAAGGCAGCAGGAUAAUACCCCGUUGUUCUGACGGUACCCAAAGAAGAAGCACCGGCUAACUUCGUG